CAAAAAUAAAUAAACAUUUAAAAAAAAUUUUUUUUAAAUAGAAGAAGAAAGAGAGAUUCCUGAUACAUGUGUGAGGGAAAGUGGAGAGAGAACCACGUGGCCAAAUUGCAAAAUUUUCCACAUUAGCUUUGCUGACCUUACACAUUCAACUCUGGUUAUUUUACCAGCAAAAGAUGGGUUUAUUCGAGAAUGGCGGAGAAUUACAAUCCGGGACAAGCAAGAGCAAAGGAGCGCUUCGUGGCAGGAAAGCAACAGCAAGAGAAAGAAGAAAAGAGGGGGCGAGGUAGGGUCCGAUCAACGUCACAUCUCAGGCCCACGGAGGCAGGAAACCGGAAAGAGGCCAACCCGCCAUCGUGGCUGUAGAUGUGGCCCAAGCCACAACGCGGCCUCUGCCCAGUUGGAUCUCAGCCCCUUCCUCUAGGAGAACAGCAGGACGGAACUAGAAGAAGGACAUUCCUCCCCAGUCUCCAGCCGGCUCCCCCUCACGUAGCACACAUUGCAAAUUAUAUUCACAGUGUCAAAGAACAAGGAAGAGGCCGCCUCACGAGGACUGUAUGGAAGAGAUUUCACGUCAAUUUCAACAGCAGGUUUAUGUUGCUACCUGCCUUAUUUCCGGACAGACCCCUUUCCCAUCUUUUCAAGACAGGACGGGUUUCUCAUCUGUGAGACAGGUAAUAACCAUGGGUCACAGCCGCUCACCGGACGGGCACGCAGAACAUCAGAAACGCUCCUCGGGGUCGGGAAACACCACGUCUCAGCCUUCGGAGGUGAGCUCGGGGAGACGUGGGGCGCAGCGGCCCGGCCUCCCCGGUGCUUCAGCUCCAACGGACCAAGGACACUGUUUUCCCCAAGGAGACCGUUUUUGUUUUUCUUUCCAUGGAAAAGAAAAGUCAGUUAUGGAUGGGAUGGGAAACUCACUUUAUAAACUAAAGAUCGCUUUUAUCUCCUGAAACUUAGCUUCUGAAUAAGAUUCUUUUCUACUUUUA